rnacentral:rRNA from 1 species
AUUGAACGCUGGCGGCAUGCCUUACACAUGCAAGUCGAACGGUAACAGGUUAAGCUGACGAGUGGCGAACGGGUGAGUAAUACAUCGGAACGUGCCCAGACGUGGGGGAUAGCUCGGCGAAAGCCGGAUUAAUACCGCAUAAGCUCUGAGGAGGAAAGCGGGGGACCGUAAGGCCUCGCGCGUUUGGAGCGGCCGAUGGCAGAUUAGGUAGUUGGUGGGGUAAAGGCUUACCAAGCCUACGAUCUGUAGCUGGUCUGAGAGGACGACCAGCCACACUGGGACUGAGACACGGCCCAGACUCCUACGGGAGGCAGCAUUGGGGAAUUUUGGACAAUGGGCGAGAGCCUGAUCCAGCAAUGCCGCGUGCAGGAUGAAGGCCUUCGGGUUGUAAACUGCUUUUGUACGGAACGAAAAGGCGCCUACUAAUACUGGGUGUUGAUGACGGUACCGUAAGAAUAAGCACCGGCUAACUACGUGCCAGCCGCCGCCGUAA